AUGAACGCUGGCGGCGUGCCUAACACAUGCAAGUCGAACGAAGCAUGCGCCGACGAAGAGGAGUGCUUGCACGAAUCGGAGUCAAUUGUGAUGACUUAGUGGCGGACGGGUGAGUAACGCGUGGGUAACCUGCCUAUACAGGGGGAUAACAGUUAGAAAUGACUGCUAAUACCGCAUAAGCGCACAGUAUCGCAUGAUACAGUGUGAAAAGCCGAGACGGUAUAGGAUGGACCCGCGUCUGAUUAGCCGGUUGGCAGGGUAACGGCCUACCAAAGCAACGAUCAGUAGCCGGCCUGAGAGGGUGAACGGCCACAUUGGGACUGAGACACGGCCCAAACUCCUACGGGAGGCAGCAGUGGGGGAUAUUGCACAAUGGGGGAAACCCUGAUGCAAGCGACGCCGCGUGAGCGAAGAAGUAUUUCGGUAUGUAAAGCUCUAUCAGCAGGGAAGAAAAUGACGGUACCUGACUAAGAAGCUCCGGCUAAAUACGUGCCAGCCGCUGC
rnacentral:rRNA from 1 species